UAUAGUUUUGAUGAAGAAAUAGAGUAGAGAAUACAUUUAAUUAGAUAACAAGGUAGGGGGUGGGGAUAAAAUUAUAGUAGAGAUAAAAAGAAAAGAAAACCAUGGUUUUAAUUUUAAUGAAUUCACUUCAAUUGUAAUAAAUAUCUUGUCCUUUGGAAUUAAGUGGUUUAAAGGGAAAUAAGGUUAGGAAGAGUCAGUAUACUCAUACAAACAAAAAUAAAAUUAAGAGUGCAAGUGUGAGAAGAAGGAAAAGCACGUGGGAAAGAAGGGAAGGAAGAAACUCGAUCUCAAAUCUUAGGGAUUCGCUACUAAUCAAAUUUUGAGGUAACAAUGAUGCUUAGCUGAGAGUCCGGAGAUGACAUUAGGAGCUGUCUUCCUUUCCCGUUUUUAAUAAAUUGAGUCGCUCUGCUAGGAAGUCCUAUGGGGGAACUCUAAGUUUUAAUUCAGUUGUUUUAUUGUUUUAAAGAUUUUUAAUUGAACUGUGAUGUCUAUUUCUAAAACCUUGUUAAUUUGAAUUUUUCAGACAA